rnacentral:rRNA from 1 species
GAUGAACGCUAGCGGCAGGCCUAAUACAUGCAAGUCGAGGGAGAAUGUUGGCUUCGUCUGACAUGAAACCGGCGCACGGGUGCGUAACACGUAUGCAACCUACCUUUAACUGGGGUAUAGCUCAGAGAAAUCUGAAUUAAUCCCCCAUACGACUACGACAUGGAAUCAUGAUGUAAUUAACGCUCCGGCGGUUAAGGUUGGGCAUGCGGUACAUUAGUUAGUUGGUGAGGUAAUGGCUCACCAAGGCUAGGAUGUAUAGGUGGUCUGAGAGGAUGAUCCCCCACACUGGUACUGAGACACGGACCAGACUCCUACGGGAGGCAGCAGUAGGGAAUAUUGGUCAAUGAACGCGAGUCUGAACCAGCCAUGCCGCGUGAAGGAUGAAGGCCCUAUGGGUCGUAAACUUCUUUUAUUAGGGAAGAAAAAACGGGAUGCGUCCUGUACUGACGGUACUUAAUGAAUAAGGAUCGGCUAACUUCGUGCCAGCCGCCGCCGUAA